rnacentral:rRNA from 1 species
CUACGGAGGGUCCAAGCGUUAUCCGGAAUCAUUGGGUUUAAAGGGUGCGCAGGCGGUUUAUUAAGUCAGUGGUGAAAUCUCGAGGCUCAACCUCGAAACUGCCAUUGAUACUGAUAAACUUGAGUUCAGUUGGAGUAGGCGGAAUGUGUAGUGUAGCGGUGAAAUGCUUAGAUAUUACACAGAACACCGAUAGCGAAGGCAGCUUACUAAACUGAUACUGACGCUGAGGCACGAGAGCGUGGGGAGCGAACAGGAUUAGAAACCCUAGUAGUCC